ACCUUGCAGCUCCAUCUACUUUAAUAGUCGCUGAGGGGAUCAGAGCACUUCAGGGCUUCACUGAUCAAGAUCCACAAAGAUGAUUUCUCCCAAUCUGAUGCUGCUAGCUGUGGGACUCAUGGCUCAGGUGUCAUCGGCUGAUAUAAUUCUGACUCAGACUCCCACUUCAAAAUCUGUCCAGCCUGGAGAAACCGUCUCUAUCAGCUGCUCAGCCAGUCAGAGUGUUAGUAGCUACCUCCACUGGUACUCCCAGAAACCUGGAGAAGCUCCUAAACUCCUGAUCUCCUAUGCAACAUCUCGUCAGUCUGAUGUUCCAGCUCGGUUCAGUGGGAGUGGGUCUGGUACACAGUACACACUGACCAUUACAGGAUUCCAGCCUGAAGAUGCAGCAGAUUACUACUGUCAGCAGGGUGAUCAGAGGCC